GGGGCAGAAGCUCAACGGUCGAGCAGUCGGCUCAUAACCGUCAGGAAGUGGGUUCAACUCCCACCUGCCCUA
rnacentral:tRNA from 1 species